UUCGCAAUCCAUUCAAUGGACAUGUGGUUGAUAAUCAUUUGGUAAUCCUCCAUCUGUCAUUACCAAUUUGGUCAAUUUAAUAUUAAUAUAUCACUUCGACUUUCGGACCGUCGCUUUCUUAUCCCUUGCCAAAUUUUUCUUCAAUUAUACGCAUAUGAUCAUACCCCACAUCCAACCAUUUUCAAUACAAUAACACUUAAGCUCAAAGUUCCACUUUUUUUUUUU
rnacentral:misc_RNA from 1 species